GAUCUAUUUACUGGACGGAUCAGGCUGGAAUUUGGCAUGGUGAUAGUAAUUAUGACGCAGACAUCUACUAAGUUAGGAUUUCUUAAAAAUCAACCCCUAAAGGGGUAAA